rnacentral:rRNA from 1 species
GAUGAACGCUGGCUACAGGCUUAACACAUGCAAGUCGAGGGGAAACGACGGGGAAGCUUGCUUCCCCGGGCGUCGACCGGCGCACGGGUGAGUAACGCGUAUCCAACCUGCCUCUGACUGAGGGAUAACCCGUCGAAAGUCGGCCUAAUACCUCAUGGUAUCGUCUGCGGGCAUCCAACGACGAUUAAAGAUUUCAUCGGUCAGGGAUGGGGAUGCGUCUGAUUAGCUUGUUGGCGGGGUAACGGCCCACCAAGGCUACGAUCAGUAGGGGUUCUGAGAGGAAGGUCCCCCACAUUGGAACUGAGACACGGUCCAAACUCCUACGGGAGGCAGCAGUGAGGAAUAUUGGUCAAUGGGCGAGAGCCUGAACCAGCCAAGUAGCGUGCAGGAAGACGGCCCUAUGGGUUGUAAACUGCUUUUAUGCGGGGAUAAAGUGAGGGACGUGUCCCUCAUUGCAGGUACCGCAUGAAUAAGGACCGGCUAAUUCCGU